rnacentral:ncRNA from 1 species
UUUUACCCGAAAACACCAUCAGCAACGCAACGGGAGUUGAAAUAGUUGUGUGUACAGCGGGUGGUUAGGCGCCUCUCGAGUGCGUUGUUCUCGACAUAUUCCCGACCCUUAAACCAGAAGAAGCCAAAUGGUACUUCAUGGGACCGUUGGGUUUACAAUGAAUUCCGAGACGGCCAUUGCCAGCACGCAGAAAUGGCGAUGAGCAAUUUUGAUUAAGGUGCUCAAAUACUCUCCCAUAAGACACCACAAAGGGCGUUGGUUCCCCUUGACACCGGGACGGUAGUCGCUAAAGUGGAAACCCGCUGAGUACAGCAUGACUCCAGACUUCACCAGCCCUCAACAUGCACAGCGGUGCAGCGGGUUACCAAGAGCAAGCUAUUAAGGCAAGUUGUGAGCACUGCGAUUUUUAAGGUAAUGAUAGUGCGCAGGAAGGCGUGGUGAUCGUGGCGAAGCUUUCGGCGGAAGCUUGUGUGGAACUGACUAUUG